GAGCCUGUAACCAAGUGGGGCAUUAAGGUGUUUGGACGUUGGCUGGACCAUCCAAGUUGGGCCUGGUGGGUGCGAUACCGGCCCGCCCAAUCCAAGUAAUGAGUGAUCCACGUGGUCCGGGCGAAGGCCUGGAUCACUUGGAUGCUAAAGUGGAGGGAACCGCGUGAGGCUGGUUUCACAGAGCAGCGACGACCUCCCGCUCUUGUCAGUGGAUGGAUAACGGGUCGGUUC
rnacentral:SRP_RNA from 1 species